UACGUAGGGUGCAAGCGUUAAUCGGAAUUACUGGGCGUAAAGCGUGCGCAGGCGGUUUGUAAGUCUGUCGUGAAAGCCCCGGGCUCAACCUGGGAAUUGCGAUGGAGACUGCAAGGCUUGAAUCUGGCAGAGGGGGGUAGAAUUCCACGUGUAGCAGUGAAAUGCGUAGAGAUGUGGAGGAACACCGAUGGCGAAGGCAGCCCCCUGGGUCAAUACUGACGCUCAUGCACGAAAGCGUGGGGAGCAAACAGG
rnacentral:rRNA from 1 species